rnacentral:rRNA from 1 species
GACGAACGCUGGCGGCGUGCUUAACACAUGCAAGUCGAACGGAAAGGCCCUGCUUUUGUGGGGUGCUCGAGUGGCGAACGGGUGAGUAACACGUGAGUAACCUGCCCUUGACUUUGGGAUAACUUCAGGAAACUGGGGCUAAUACCGUAUAGGAGCUCCUGCUGCAUGGUGGGGGUUGGAAAGUUUCGGCGGUUGGGGAUGGACUCGCGGCUUAUCAGCUUGUUGGUGGGGUAGUGGCUUACCAAGGCUUUGACGGGUAGCCGGCAUGAGAGGGUGACCGGCCACAUUGGGACUGAGAUACGGCCCAGACUCGUACGGGAGGCAGCAGUGGGGAAUAUUGCACAAUGGGCGGAAGCCUGAUGCAGAAACGCCGCGUGCGGGAUGACGGCCUUCGGGUUGUAAACCGCUUUCGCCUGUGACGAAGCGUGAGUGACGGUAAUGGGUAAAGAAGCACCGGCUAACUACGUG